rnacentral:rRNA from 1 species
GGGUGGUAAUGCCGGAUGCUCCAGUUGAUCGCAUGGUCUUCUGGGAAAGCUUUCGCGGUAUGGGAUGGGGUCGCGUCCUAUCAGCUUGACGGCGGGGUAACGGCCCACCGUGGCUUCGACGGGUAGCCGGCCUGAGAGGGCGACCGGCCACAUUGGGACUGAGAUACGGCCCAGACUCCUACGGGAGGCAGCAGUGGGGAAUAUUGCACAAUGGGCGCAAGCCUGAUGCAGCGACGCCGCGUGAGGGAUGGAGGCCUUCGGGUUGUAAACCUCUUUUAUCGGGGAGCAAGCGAGAGUGAGUUUACCCGUUGAAUAAGCACCGGCUAACUACGUGCCAGCAGCCGCGGUAAUACGUAGGGUGCAAGCGUUAUCCGGAAUUAUUGGGCGUAAAGGGCUCGUAGGCGGUUCGUCGCGUCCGGUGUGAAAGUCCAUCGCUUAACGGUGGAUCCGCGCCGGGUACGGGCGGGCUUGAGUGCGGUAGGGGAGACUGGAAUUCCCGGUGUAACGGUGGAAUGUGUAGAUAUCGGAAA